GAAAUUUUUUCAAAAUCUAUGGGCUAACAACCCCUACAAAAAUAUUGAUUUUUUGGUAAAUACUUUAUAUACUGUAUGCUAAACUCUUUUAUUAAUGUAUUAAUGUAUGCUAAACUCUUGGAUAUAUCUAUAUCUCUUAAAAAGCACAAUAUAUACUUUCAGUAACACAAGUUUUUGUUUUGUAGUUAUGAGCUACAUGCAUUGUGGCAAUUGAAAUGGACGUGGCAACAUGAAGUGUAGACCAAAAAUCUUGCUUACAUUCUUUAUUAUUUUUUAGAGUUAAUUAUCUAAUUAUUUAUUGUUUGAAAUUUUGUUCCUUGUUUUGGUUACCAUUCACUGACAAUUUGUUACAUUCCUUCUCAACAAUUUUUCCUUCUAAUUAAUUCCAUAUCAUUCCUUUAGAUUUUUUUCCCUAUGAUUUCUUUCAUUUUUAAAGUGGCACCAGUUGACCCUAACUGUGAUGGGUUUAACUAUUUAAAAUUAUUGGGCUUUCUGAUUAAAUCUUUCUUAUUUUGGGGUCCGUACCAUUAAUGGGCUUUAAGAAUAAUAUGGAAUGUCGACGAGAAUGGAAAACUAUUUCCAUUGUUCUCUGUCACAGCAAUGAAAAAAAGAAGAGAAAAGGGUCAAAAAGCAAUGAUCUCAAGAAUGUUUCUUUCCUUGGUUAAUAUUUGAAAUCCAUCCUCCUCUCUCCCUAUCCCCUCAAUCUCUAAGCUGCUUCUCCAUUCUCCAGGUAUGAUAAAAUUCCAUUGUUUAAUCUAUAUUACCUUCAUCACAUAUGUUUCGUUUAGCAUGUUUCAUGCCCUCUAGCUUUAGAUUUCCGGACUUCAAUUUCGUGUCCACUUGUUAUUAUUGUCAAGUAUUCCGGAACCUGGAUUACCUUCAAAUCUCCGACAGCAAACUGGUCAUAUUCCCAAGUUUUUAGAUGAUUUCCAUUAAGCACCAUGGAGGGAAUCAACGACACCGAUCGUUAUCACCAUUCCAGAUCGAAGUUGAAUGCAAACAACAUAUGAGGUGCUAAACAUUGAAGAAUGUUGCUUUGAUUUGAUUUUGUUACUUGUGCAUGUUUGAUCCAAGGUUUGCUUUUUAGAACACAAAAAGCUCUGUGCAUUUUUUAUGGCAUGUCUACAGGGAAAUUUACAUGGGUCAAUAAUAGUCUCACAGGUUACAUUUUUUCCCUCAGACAAAUCAUGUGCAUACAACAGCCUCAAUCCUACUUAAUCCCCCAUUCCUAACAAUUCUUUCUUACAUUUUGCUCAUCACAAUUUGAAACAACACUUAGACUAAUCUCCCAUCUUCUUUGUCAGGUUACCAACAUUGUUUAUUUCUAAAUCCAGAGAUGACAACCAAACACCAUUAAUAUUACAGACAGCUUUUCCAUCAUCCCUGUGCCAUUGGAUGGUCAUGCGAAUCUGGUGGAUCUCCAUCUGUAAACCAGAAAAAAAUCAAUUCAUAGUUGCAAUAAAGAAGCACACAAUCCAAAAGUUCAAGAUAGAAGACCAUUUUUCAUGAUUUUACAAGUUAAGAGACUAGCUACACUCUGAGCAAAGUGUUUGUCAACAUUUUUUCCUGAUAUUGUAGGUUUAUGUUUGUAAUGACCUUCCAUAUUAUCAUCAGAGCACAUAAUUGAACGGUAAAUAAAAGAUUAUUCUGAGAUUGCAAACAAAA